rnacentral:rRNA from 6 species
CUGAUGCGUUGUUGGGUAGGGGAGCGUUCUGUAAGCCUGCGAAGGUGGCCUGUGAGGGUUGCUGGAGGUAUCAGAAGUGCGAAUGCUGACAUAAGUAACGAUAAAGCGGGUGAAAAGCCCGCUCGCCGGAAGACCAAGGGUUCCUGUCCAACGUUAAUCGGGGCAGGGUGAGUCGACCCCUAAGGCGAGGCCGAAAGGCGUAGUCGAUGGGAAACGGGUUAAUAUUCCCGUACUUGGUGUUACUGCGAAGGGGGGACGGAGAAGGCUAUGUUGGCCGGGCGACGGUUGUCCCGGUUUAAGCGUGUAGGUGUGUGUUCCAGGUAAAUCCGGUUCACUUUAACACUGAGGCGUGAUGACGAGGCACUACGGUGCUGAAGCAACAAAUGCCCUGCUUCCAGGAAAAGCCUCUAAGCAUCAGGUAACAUCAAAUCGUACCCCAAACCGACACAGGUGGUCAGGUAGAGAAUACCAAGGCGCUUGAGAGAACUCGGGUGAAGGAACUAGGCAAAAUGGUGCCGUAACU